rnacentral:rRNA from 1 species
GACGAACGCUGGCGGCGUGCUUAACACAUGCAAGUCGAACGGAAAGGCCCUGCUUUUGUGGGGUGCUCGAGUGGCGAACGGGUGAGUAACACGUGAGUAACCUGCCCUUGACUUUGGGAUAACUUCAGGAAACUGGGGCUAAUACCGGAUAGGAGCUCCUGCUGCCUGGUGGGGGUUGGAAAGUUUCGGCGGUUGGGGAUGGACUCGCGGCUUAUCAGCUUGUUGGUGGGGUAGUGGCUUACCAAGGCUUUGACGGGUAGCCGGCCUGAGAGGGUGACCGGCCACAUUGGGACUGAGAUACGGCCCAGACUGCUACGGGAGGCAGCAGUGGGGAAUAUUGCACAAUGGGCGGAAGCCUGAUGCAGCAACGCCGCGUGCGGGAUGACGGCCUUCGGGUUGUAAACCGCUUUCGCCUGUGACGAAGCGUGAGUGACGGUAAUGGGUAAAGAAGCACCGGCUAACUACGUG